AUCAAUGCCUAGGCCAUCAUGAGCAGUCAACCAUCCAGUUCAAAAAGUGCAAGCAUUUGAAGCAGCAGGAAAACAAAGGAAAAGAGGAACCAAAGGCCAUACUCCAGCCCAAAGCAUUUUAUACAAAAAUUUUCAUUGAUAACUAAGCAAAAGUUGCAAGCUUCCCCAACAAAUGAUUUUUCCUUUGGACAUAUACACAAUUUUCUUGAGGGUCACUUGACAUUUAGAGGCUAAUAGCGCCACCAGAUUAUGACCAACCUGGCCUAGGUGUCUCAUGCUAGUCAUGCUGUUAUCCAUCUCGGACGCCAAACCGGCCAAAUGUGUUUCGGUGGUCAUUUACACAUAA
rnacentral:lncRNA from 1 species